GGCCUGGUGGUGUAGCGGUAACACGUCCUUGCGGUUUGGCUUCUUUGGAAUAUGCUGUCAGGAAGUCCCUUGUUCGAAUCAAGGCCAGGCCA